rnacentral:rRNA from 1 species
CCUACGGGUGGCAGCAGUGAGGAAUAUUGGUCAAUGGGCUUACGCCUGAACCAGCCAAGUCGCGUGAGGGAAGACUGCCCUAUGGGUUGUAAACCUCUUUUGUAAGGGAGAAACGCCGGCUACGUGUAGCCUGACUGCGAGUACCUGACGAAAAAGCAUCGGCUAACUCCGUGCCAGCAGCCGCGGUACUACGGAGGAUGCGGGCGUUAGCCGGAUUUAUUGGGUUUAAAGGGAGCGUAGGUGGAUUGUUAAGUCAGUUGUGAAAGUUUGCGGCUCAACCGUAAAAUUGCAGUUGAAACUGGCAGUCUUGAGUACAGUAGAGGUGGGCGGAAUUCGUGGUGUAGCGGUGAAAUGCGUAGAGAUCACGAAGAACUCCGAUUGCGAAGGCAGUUCACUGGACUGCAACUGACACUGAGGCGCGAAAGUGUGGGUAUCAAACAGGAUUAGAUACCCGGGUAGUC